CCUUCGAUAGCUCAGUUGGUAGAGCGGUGGACUGUAGUUGCAGGAAAAUGGAUAUCCAUAGGUCGCUGGUUCAAAUCCGGCUCGAAGGA
rnacentral:tRNA from 1 species